GUCUAGGAUGUAUAUAAAAUGCAAAAUUGAAGCUUAACUGUACUACUAUCCUUUUUCAACAUAGUUGUUCUACCAAUGGGCACAAUUGCAUCACUUCAUAGCAAUAACUAUGCUGCAUAAGGAUAGUGAUUGAGUAAGAUGUAAUAUCUGUGUGAUUCUCUAGCUAUAUCUAAUACUUGCAUACAGGUCACAGAUGCAUCAUGUAUAGUUGAGCACACAGUUAGAAAUUUACAAAUACAAUGACAGAAAGAAGAUUAUGCCAAAAAUGCAAAUGUUGUUUCAAUGCAUUAUACUAUAGCUCUAUGCUUAGUCACAUUGAUACUUUCUGUGCAAUUGGAACUGUGACAUUUUGUUAGCUUCGUUUAGUAUUUCACACUUCAUUGCACACCCUGUGAGUUGGUUUUCUUUACAAACUGUUAAUCAACUUUAGAUGGAAGUUCUGGAACAUCUCCUAUAGAGAAGGACAAAUUGUGUGGGCUUGUUGUUGGUUUAUUAGACCAUUAGAGUAGUCUGUGUUUUCAUUUUUCAAACUACAAACCAGUGAAAAUAAAACUUCUAUGGGCCAAGGCUGUCCCUCUGAGCAUAUCUGUUAGUGGAACUCACUUCUCUUAAGGCUGAUUGUUUGCCACUUUAAUCUGUGCAAUUGUAUGGUACAGUAAGUGUUAAUCGCAAGCAUGGCAUAUUUUAUUGGCACUCUUAUUCAGUGAAUCUGUUAACCAAAUUUUUAGAUCCUUAUGUUUGAGUUACCAUGCUCCUUUUGCACAUUUGAUAGUAUUUAUGAUUAAAAUUGAUCAACUUUCUUUCCAUUUUGUUAAACCUGCAGCACUAUACUGUUCAUAUAUUGUUCUUCUUUUGAGUCUUGUUGAAAGGGGAAUUUCUCAGAGCAAGAAAGGAUAAACUCAUUAAACCCUGUUUUGCAUUGCCUCUUCUUUAGUUUUUUUUUUUUUAAAAAAACUUUAGGUCUGAUGUCCUCAUGAGAAUGUCAACAGAGAUAAACUACAGUGUACAUCCAUGACUGCUUCACAAUCCUUGUGUUAAAAUUGUUAGUUCCAUUUGUCUAGUUGACUACUUCCAUUUGUCUAGUUGACUACAUUUACUUGAUUAAUUAGCACAAGUUGGGCAGUGUGAAGCGGCUUUCUGUGGAAGAAGUUUGUCAGAGAAUUCAAGGUGGCAUUGUCAAACGUAUCCUCAUAUUACUGUUAAGAUUUCCACUUGUCAUAUUUGUUCUAGCCGUUCAGUAUUGCAUGGUUAAAUAUCUUAACAAAGUCUCCUGACAAUAUGCG
rnacentral:sRNA from 1 species